rfam:Loxodonta africana cont3.8644, whole genome shotgun sequence.
GGGUGACUGAUCGCACCCACCAGCUGGCUAACACCAUAAUUAACAAAGUUGCUACUACAUCUGCAAAGUUUAAUCCAAAAAUUUGCCAGCAAUAUGAUGGCAUUGUCACUGAGAUCACAAUGGACACGGAGUCGACUUUUGCUCAAGGUGGAACGGCAAAGCCGUGUUGGCAAGAUGAAGAAUCGCAAAAUUGUUCAGCCAAA